AAAACACACCUACGGGAGGCAGCAGGGGGGAAUAUUGGGCGAUGGAUGCAAGUCUGACCCAGCCAUGCCGCGUGCCGGAAGAAGGCCCUCAGGGUUGUAAACGGCUUUUAUUCGGGAAGAAGAGCAGGGAUGCGUCCUUGUGUGACGGUACCGAAUGAAUAAGCACCGGCUAACUCCGUGCCAGCAGCCGCGGUAAUACGGAGGGUGCGAGCGUUGUCCGGAUUUAUUGGGUUUAAAGGGUGCGCAGGUGGCUUUAUAAGUCAGUGGUGAAAUACAGCCGCUCAACGGUUGAGGUGCCAUUGAUACUGUAGAGCUUGAAACAAUUGGAGGCUGCCGGAAU
rnacentral:rRNA from 1 species